GCCCGGUGGCUCCUAGGGCGUCACUCGGCCUCUGUCCCCCUGACGAUCCCCCCUGCAACUCCUCCACCACGGACCAGAGACCCCCCUCUCUGGGCGGCAGACACGGGUGGCUUGCGCCGGCUGGUUUGAAGUAGAGCAGUCCUGCUGGAGUGGAGGAAAAUGCAAGGGCUAUCACCCACCCAAGCUGGAGAUUCACUAGGACUUCCAAGAGGGAGCCCAGCUGAGCAAGCGGCACCUGGAUGCCAUCUGUGUCUGAGAGGCUGUGUUUCCUCCGUCUCUAACCUGGGAGGACUCUCAAAACACAGCCCACUUGGACAUCCAAGGGCCCUGGAGAUGUCUCCACUGAAGGUCGAAGAUUCAGACUUCACUGCCCAGAUAACACCAGCUGGAGUUGGCUUUGGGGCUGUUACUUCUUUCCCAUGAUCAGUCAUGCAUUUUUGUGGUAUUGAUCCUUGGCCCAGACCCUGACUGGCUAAAGCCAAUAAUUCUAUCCCAUCGCAUCUCUCUGGCCGCCAUUAUUUGAUCCAUGAUGGCAGAAACCCAGUCAGAACCACUGAAACCUGUGGAGAAGUCUUCUAGGGCUUCUGGGAAAAAGAAAGUUCUCUCCCCUCCUUGAAAGCCACUCCUUCUGUGAUCCGUAUGGUGUGAAGACAUAAAGACCUGAACGGCUUCUUUACUACUAGGUCAGAAGACCACGGAACUGCCAAUGGGAAGCCAUUUGAGGACUGAAGAAGCAACUGAUGCUUUGGAAUGUAAAGAGGAAAUAUGGAAAGGAACAAAACUGGUCCUCGAUGAUUCUAGAUCAAACUGUACCUGAAGCUGGUCCUGCCUCUGGCCUUUUCACUGAUGCAAGUUUGUACAUCCCGUUAUUCUUCAAGCCAGUUUGAGUUGGAUUGCCUGUCAUUUUCAAUGGAAAGAUUUUUAACUCACCAUUUGCUUUUGUCAAAUUGAUGAUGACAUAUUAAUACCUUUUCAAUGAGUGAUGCUGGGAAAAUGGGGCCAUGCUGUGGGUUUCUGCUUCACUGUUUUCUUUAGUAUGUUGUUUUCAAUUGGAAUGAAUACCUUCUUAAAUCAUUUUCUUAGUGGUCUCCUUGUCCACACUUUACAACACAGAUCAAGUAUCACUUUCCCUAUGAAUUCAUUACUGAGCAAGAAUGAUAAACACUGGAAUUUUAGAUCUGUUGAGACUGUCCCAAGUAAAAGUUGAGUACUUGUUUUAAUUUAGAUAGACAUGAUUUUGAAACCUGACUCUCUAAUUUACUAGCUGUGUGACUUUCGACAAUUUGCCUAAACUCUCUAAGAUACUUCUCCCAACCUGUAAAAAUCCUGUUAAUAAUAGCAUCUUAUCCCAGACAACUUUUGUGAAGAUAAAAUGAAAUAGUUCAUGUACAACAAUUACCAAGGUGCUUGACACAGAAUAAAUGCUCAAUAAAUGUU